rnacentral:rRNA from 1 species
GAUGAACGCUGGCGGCGUGCCUAAUACAUGCAAGUCGAACGGUAAGGCCCUUCGGGGUACACGAGUGGCGAACGGGUGAGUAACACGUGGGUGAUCUGCCCUGCACUUCGGGAUAAGCCUGGGAAACUGGGUCUAAUACCGGAUAGGACCCUGGGAUGCAUGUCCUGGGGUGGAAAGCUUUUGCGGUGUGGGAUGGGCCCGCGGCCUAUCAGCUUGUUGGUGGGGUGAUGGCCUACCAAGGCGACGACGGGUAGCCGGCCUGAGAGGGUGACCGGCCACACUGGGACUGAGACACGGCCCAGACUCCUACGGGAGGCAGCAGUGGGGAGUAUUGCGCAAUGGGCGAAAGCCUGACGCAGCGACGCCGCGUGAGGGAUGACGGCCUUCGGGUUGUAAACCUCUUUCAGCAGGGAAGAAGCGAAAGUGACGGUACCUGCAGAAGAAGCACCGGCUAACUACGUGCCAGCAGCCGCCGUAA